CAUACAUCUCCUUUAGUUCACCUGAACAUCACUUCUGGAUGUUUACGUGUGCUCUGCUGUUUGUAGCCCAUGUGUGUGUGUCUGGAGAAGGCCAGCGGUUCAGGAGUGCUGUCAGCUUUUCUGGCAUCAGUGGUUGGACCUUCAGCUCUAUAUCUGCGAGUGUGAAGAAAAUUGUCACGCCCAGCCAAUACAACUUACAGCUUACUUGUUGUAGAUGCAUGGGAGGAAACAAAUCUUAAAUAGAAGCAUGAUUGUCUCUCUCAGUAGCAGUGAUGGGAGUCCUGCAGCAGCACAGUGCACAGCAAAGACAGCUCCCUGCAACAAUGUUUCACUGCAGCCUGUCAACACAUCACUGCUGAGACUUUUACAUUUACAUGUCAGGUAUUCACAUGCUUCGAGUGCAACUUUCUGAAUUUAAUGUGUUGUUUUCCUUUCCUUCGUUGUUUUCUUUUCCUUCGAGUGUCUCCUGUCCUGCUUAAGUGGAAAAGUGGAUGUCCUUCUCUUCAACCCUCCCUAUGUGGUCAGACCUUCAGAAGAGGUGGGCAGCACGGGUAUAGAGGCCGCCUGGGCCGAGGGCGAGAGGUGACCGACAGGUUUCUGUCUGUGGUAGCACAGUUGCAAGUGUUCAUACCCAAACCUUGAAAUGAAAUAAAAUAAAUACAAAUAUAAAUAAAAAGACAUAAAAUAAAUGUACAUGAUGCCUGGUGGUUGUUACCACUGAACACCGUGCUGGCUCCCCAUCAAUGAAACUGGUUCCAACACACACACUGCAGUGAUGGUUUUGGACAACAGACAAGUCAACAUUGAUCUUGAUAUUGUGUCAAAAGUCAAUAUGUGUCCUCUCUUAUCUUGAGCUGCAGUUUGUUUUGGGAUUUAUAAGGGAACUCUAUUUUUCUGGUGAUUUAAGUUUGUUGACUUGUGGAGUAAUAUAGUAGUAAUGCUGGUUGAUGGUAAUCAUUUACUAAACAUUGUAUGACUUGUUAGACAUGCGUAUCUGCUCACACUGUGGGGCUCUCUUGUGCCGAUGUAAAUACUGAAUCUGUAUCGCUGUGAUGUAAAACAAAUAUUAAACCAGAGUCUGAGCCUUUUGUCACAGAAAAAAAGUUUAUUUAAAAAUAAAGUUAUAUCCCUCUUACUCGUCAAGGACUGUGAAAACAAAA